UCGUGCUAGGUGGGGAGCUAGCGGUUCCCUGUACCCGCAAUCCGCUAUAGCGGGACGGAAUUCCCGUCCGAGACGCCAUCUUUCAGGGUCAGGCCGGCGUGCGUGGGCGACGACGGCCGGGUCCUGCGCAACGAGAUCUGACCAAACCCGCCAGGUCCGGAAGGAAGCAACGGUACGUCAGUGCUCUCGUGUGCCGCAGGGACACCUGGUCUGAGCCGGCGGCGUCGACACCGCCUGGAGGAUGACCGCCGACGAUGGGUGCACGG
rnacentral:SRP_RNA from 2 species